UGCGAGUUAACGUAGCAAUACGUGGCAUACGGCUCAGUAACACGUAGUCAACAUGCCCAGGGGACGUGGAUAACCUCGGGAAACUGAGGAUAAACCGCGAUAGGCCAAGAUUUCUGGAAUGAAUCAUGGUUUAAAUCUAUAUGGCCCCUGGAUUGGACUGCGGCCGAUCAGGCUGUUGGUGAGGUAAUGGCCCACCAAACCUGUAACCGGUACGGGCUCUGAGAGGAGGAGCCCGGAGAUGGGCACUUAGACAAGGGCCCAGGCCCUAUGGGGCGCAGCAGGCGCGAAACCUCUGCAAUAAGCGAAAGCUUGACAGGGUUACUCUGAGUGAUUUCCGCUAAGGAAGUCUUUUGGCACCUCUAAAAAUGGUGCAGAAUAAGGGGUGGGCAAGUCUGGUGUCAGCCGCCGCGGUAAUACCAGCACCCCGAGUGGUCGGGACGAUUAUUGGGCCUAAAGCAUCCGUAGCCGGUCCUGCAAGUCCUCCGUUAAAUCCACCCGCUCAACGGUUGGGCCGCGGGGGAUACUACAGGGCUAGGAGGCGGGAGAGGCAAGCGGUACUCGAUGGGUAGGGGUAAAAUCCACUGAUCCAUUGAAGACCACCAGUGGCGAAGGCGGCUUGCCAGAACGCGCUCGACGGUGAGGGAUGAAAGCUGGGGGAGCAAACCGGAUUAGAUACCCGGGUAGUCCCAGCUGUAAACGAUGCAGACUCGGUGAUGGGCUGGCUUCGUGCCAACCCGGU
rnacentral:rRNA from 1 species